ensembl:lncRNA
CCUAGAGACAUCUCUCCUAGACAUCUCUCCUAGAGACAUCUCUCCUAAAGACAUCUCUCCUAGAGACAUCUCUCCUAAAGACAUCUCUCCUAAAGACAGCUCUCCUAGAGACAUCUCUCCUAGACAUCUCUCCUAGACAUCUCUCCUAAAGACAUCUCUCCUAGACAUCUCUCCUAGACAUCUCUCCUAGACAUCUCUCCUAAAGACAUCUCUCCUAGACAUCUCUCCUAAAGACAUCUCUCCUAAAGACAUCUCUCCCAAAGACAUCUCUCCUAGAGACAUCUCUCCUCUCUCCUAGACAUCUCUCCUAAAGACAUCGCUCCUAAAGACAUCUCUCCUAAAGACAUCUGUCCUAGACAUCUCUCCUAGAGACAUCUCUCCUAAAGACAGCUCUCCUAGAGACAUCUCUCCUAAAGACAUCUCUCCUAGAGACAUCUCUCCUAAAGACAUCUCUCCUAGAGACAUCUCUCCUAGACAUCUCUCCUAAAGACAUCUCUCCUAGACAUCUCUCCUAGACAUCUCUCCUAGACAACUCUCCUAAAGACAGGUCUCCUAGCCAUCUCUCCUAAAGACAUCUCUCCUAGAGACAUCUCUCCUAAAGACAUCUCUCCUAAAGACAGGUCUUAUAGCCCCGUUGUAUUGACGCUGGGCUGACGCGUGUUCUAUACCAUCUUAAUGUACAGGUAACAGGGCUAAUUCAGUGAACAGUCAUUAUUGUAUUUAUUCAUGUCUACUCUAUAUGUUGGCCGUAGUGUGAUAAGGACAGCGCUACUCAGAAGGGCCGGACUAACAAAUGACACAUUAACAUCAAAUAAAUAACAUAAAUGUAUUGUUUUAUUUAAGGCCUUCUCCGCUACUUUGUUCACAGUGAAUAAUAUGAUACUCUACCUGUUAUGAUGAAUACAUAAGGGUUAAAAAGAUAGCUGAACGGAGAUGAACACUGUAGCCCGUUUGCAGUCAGAAGAUAACUGAACAGAGAUGAACACUGUAGCCAGUUUGCAGUCAGAAGAUAGCUGAACGGAGAUGAACACUGUAGCCAGUUUGCAGUCAGAAGAUAACUGAACGGAGAUGAACACUGUAGCCAGUUUGCAGUCAGAAGAUAACUGAACGGAGAUGAACACUGUAGCCAGUUUGCAGUCAGAAGAUAACUGAACGGAGAUGAACACUGUAGCCAGUUUGCAGUCAGAAGAUAACUGAACGGAGAUGAACACUGUAGCCAGUUUGCAGUCAGAAGAUAGCUGAACGGAGAUGAACACUGUAGCCCGUUUGCAGUCAGAAGAUAACUGAACGGAGAUGAACACUGUAGCCCGUUUGCAGUCAGAAGAUAGCUGAACGGAGAUGAACACUGUAGCCAGUUUGCAGUCAGAAGAUAGCUGAACGGAGAUGAACACUGUAGCCCGUUUGCAGUCAGAAGAUAGCUGAACGGAGAUGAACACUGUAGCCCGUUUGCAGUCAGAAGAUAGCUGAACGGAGAUGAACACUGUAGCCCGUUUGCAGUCAGAAGAUAGCUGAACGGAGAUGAACACUGUAGCCAGUUUGCAGUCAGAAGAUAACUGAACG